CUUCAGGGAUCCCAGGUAGAGCGGCCUGCCCUCGUCCCGGUCCUUCCCGUAGGUCGCCAGCAGGGCCUCCGCCUC
rnacentral:antisense_RNA from 2 species